GGGAACUUCCUGCCAAGCGUGAGAACGCUGCGAACUUCCCGGAGGCCAAAAGUUGAGGGGGCUGAGCGGAGCGUGAUUGGGGAGGGGCGGGCCUGGGAGACCUUGGGCGCCUCCUCUGAAAGCCUCUUGCACGAUAACAAAUGCAGAGUGAGUGGAAGAAUGAAAUGACUCUUCAAACAUCAGGAAGCAAAAAUAGUUUUUUGCUACUUAAAGGCUCCACCUAAUUAUCUCAGUUCUUUUCACUUUGUGUAUUCAAGCUACACAACUUUAUACAAUCGUUCUGCUGUUGAAACCCAUUUUAUUUUAAUCCUGAUCUGAGGAUAGAACAGGACUGAUCAGGAUGUUUUUAUCUCUAUUAGAACAAUUGUUUCCCAAGUCUGAACUUAACUUUGAAUUUAUCUUAACCAUGGAAAUGGUGAGAAUCACUUGAACUCAACAUGGUAUAUCUCUCAGUUGAGUUCUCAGAACAUAAGUCAUUUCAACAAUAUAUUUUAUUAUUUAUAAAAGGUGAAACAUUUUAAUAAUUAAAACCUUAUAGAACAAUGUAAAGAAUCUAGCCAGAAUUUUAUUUUCCCCCAAGUGCAUAAGCAAUUUAAGUAACACAUAGAAGUGUACCUUUUAUUCCUAUAGUGUUAUAUACCAAUGAGGAAACAGUAACUUUCUAAGGAUACAUUGUUGAAUUCUUUAUUAAUUCAAAACAUUUUAAGAAAGUCAGUGUAAUGCAUAUGCAUUUUACAAUAACAUCCAUAGGUUUCCACAAUCUAGUAAAAUGAAAACAGCUGUAUUUUGAUUUACUUUGAAAACUCAAACCUAUAGUUCGAGACUUCUGAAUAUUUUUACAUUACUGUCAUGCUCAAAUUCUGUUACAUGGUGAAAAUUCUAGCAUUUUCCAGAAGUAUAUUAUUGUACAUAGGUAAAAUGAUAAAAUUGAUUCUAGGAAGGGGGAAAAAAAAACCCAGAAAAACUUAAAUUGGAGGAAACAUAAUCUGGAUUAUCUAUUCAAUUUGUGAAUACCCACCGUUAUUCUGGCAUUGCAAAAUAACCAAGUGUGGUGCCUCUUAAGUUGCAUUCAUGCAUUCAAAACUUCUUUAUUGUCCACUGAUAAAUAUUGGUGGAGUACAAUAUAUGGAUAUAGAUUAAGUGUGAUGAACAUGGUAGUAAAAAAUUAUACACAUUCGAUAUGUAAUUUUACAAAACCAAACACAUUGAAUUCUUUUUAAUAUUUAGCAAACAUUUAAAAAUCAUAUACAAGAAAGGUGUUUAUGACAAAUCGGUUAAAGCUAGCGGGAAAUAGGUCUUUUACAUUAUUUCAAUAUUCAGUGUUCAUUGAUUAGUGGAGGGCAAUAUAAAAAUGCAAUAAGCAAAAUGGUUAGUUUAAAUUUAAAUUACCUCUUAUGACAAUUAGUAAGAUAAGAUCUUUAAUAUCCAAAGUAUGUGGAGGAUUAUUGUAAAUUGCGCAGACAGUUCAAGGGAAAAAUUCACUUUCACCUCUAUUAGGUGAAUAUUCAGGCUAAGACUUCUGGAGUUUUAUUUUUCCACUUCACUGUAUUUUCUUUAUAGCAUUUAUUAGUAAUCACUUAGUGGAACCUAAUAUUAGUGUUUAGAAUUUGUUUAGCUCAGUGUAAAUGUCCAGAAAAUUUACCUUCAAUAUAAUCUCUUUAAAAACGCAUUACUUUACAGUGGAGAAAUAUAAUAGAUGCUACCUCAGCUAAGUGAUCAAGGUUAACAUCAACAGCUAAGAGUAGCCUAAAGUUUGAGAAACUGUCACAGCUAAGACGAGUCCCGGUGAUGGCAUAUACCUUUGAUACCAUGUGAUGAGCAUGGCACUUUACCGUUGUGUUCUUUCAAAAACCAAAAACCUGUGUCUAGUCACGAGAAAAACAUCAGACGAAUCCCCAUAGAAGGACAUUCUACAAAAUACCAGUUUAUUUCUCAAAACUGUCAUCAAAAACAAGGAAAGUUGCAGAAACUGUCACAGCCAAGGGAAGCCUAAGGAAACAUGACAACUAAAUGUAAUGUGGUAUCCUGAAUGGGAUCCUGGGACAGAAAAAGGACAUUAGGUUAUAAACUAAGGAAAUCUGAAUGAAGUAUGAAUGUAAUGAUCAAUAUUGGCUCAUUAAUGCCCAUAGAUGUAUAUGGGACCUCUCUAUUUGGAGUUUUUCUGUAAAUCUAAAACUACUCUAAAAUAAAAGGUUUAAUGGACACAUUACUAUUUUAAAUUUUAUACAUUUUAUUUUUUUCUUAGAGUCAGGGUCUCACUUUGUUGCAUAGACAUGUCUGGAACUCCUGGGCUCAAGUGAUCCUCACGCCUUAGUCUCCCAAAGUGCUGGGAUUGUAUGCGUGAGCCACCGUGCCUGGCCCAUUACCACCUUUUAUUAAGUUUUUAUUUUCAUUGUAAAAUUGUUAAAGAAAAUCAUACCACCUUAAUAUUAAAAAGAGUGUUUUCUAAUUGUCAAUCUCUUAUAACUUAGUCUUAGCCCUAUAACUCAUUUAUAUAUUUAGCAAGUAAUUUGAUAUUAUUUCUGUCCUUGGGAAUGUUGUUUUAUUUCCUUUGGAAAUAAAACUUUCAAAUGAUUGAUCUUAUUUAAACUUUAAUUUUAACCUAUAAUUGUAUAUCCAUUUAUCAUCUAUCUAUCAUCUAUCUAUCAAUCAUCUAUCUAUCUAUGUCAUUGAAAGAAACAUUUCUAUAGAUUUGAGGUGAUGGUGAACUGAAAGUACUGAUUUGGGAUCACAUUAUUGAGAAAAGCAGUAACACUGAUAUAGUGUUCCAUCUUAAAACAUGAUUGUAUGUUUUGAUGAGUAGCUAAAUCAGAUGUUUAACGUAUGUUUUGGAAAAAAAUAGGGGAAAGUGCAUUAAAGUGACAUUUAAUACAAGUAUACAAUAACAAUUAUUGACGUGAUGCACUUUGAUAAAAUAAUAAUGUAUGCCACACUUUAUUCUUUCCACGUUUGUUUUAUUUAAUGCUCAUAGUUAUCCUGAUAAUUACGUAUUUUAUUUGUCAUUUGCAGAUGAGGAAAUGAACUCAGAGAAGAUAAAUGAUUUGCCCAAAGUCACAUGAGACAGAAAUAUAACUUGAAAUCAAAUUUGUAAUUUUAAGUUCCUGAUGUUUUUACACUAUGCUCCCUAAGUGAAUCUGUGGACAUACAUUUCCAUUAGUAACCUUACUCAUCUUAUAGCUUUUGUCAUAGGAAGAAAAUCAGUUCCCAAACUGGGACCUUCUAUCACCUAGGGCAACAUUUUGCCUUUUGUAGUGUUUUCAGUAGAGUCAAAGUCUUGAACAGCCUCUUGAAUUCAUCUGAAAAGAUGUUACUUGGGGCUGGAGAGGACUACACCUGUAAGAGUAAUAAUUUCAAAAAUACCUAUAAAUAAAUCAAAUCUGGGUAUUCAGAAAUAAUACUUGUCAUUGUGCACCAUCUUGUGUUGCAAGGAUAUUUUAAGCACUGCAGGGAAAAUCUGAAGCAAGUUUUGGGUUAUCAGUUUUAUUGAUAAAUAUUUGCAGUUGUAGCAAGUGAAGAAUUAAAAAUUUUUGCAGAUUGGAUAUUGUUUUUGCAGGAGAACAAACCCAUUGGUCAGAAAUUUGAAGAUGGAAAACACAAAAAUACAUGUUUGAAAAAUAUACUUAGAAAAUUAUGGUUGUAAACUGUCAAUGUAAACAGAUAGGCGAAAAUAUUUUUUGGAAAUAUCUUUACCAUCUUUCAAAAUAAUUAGGCAAUGUGUCAAGAUCAAAGUAUUCAAAAUACAUGUUUGAUAGGCUUCUAUCUAUAGGCAUUUUCUGUCUAAGACUUAAAAAUAUUAUUAUUAUAAUUAUUAUUAUUAUUUUGAGAUGGAGUCACUCUGUUGCCAAGGCUGGAGUGCAGUGGCAUGAUAUCAGCUCACUGCGACCUCUGCCUCCUGGGUUCAAGCGAUUCUCCUGCCUCAGCCUCUCAAGUAGCCGGGAUUAAAGGCACCCACCACCAUGCCCGGCUAAUUUUGUAUUUUUACUAGAGUCGGGGUUUCACCAUGUUGGCCAGUCUGGUCUCAAACUCCUGAGCUCAAGUGAUCCGCCCUCUUUGGCUUCCCAAAGUGCUGGGAUUACAGGCUUGAGCCACUGUGCCUGGCCAAGAAAUUUUAGGUGGUUUUCAAAUACGUUUUAUUUUUG
rnacentral:lncRNA from 10 species